GGCGUUUUAGUGUCGUGGUUAUCACUCAAGAUUCUGAUUAUUCCAGUGUUUUUGUGACCCCGGUACAAAUCCGGGUAAUGCCU